rnacentral:rRNA from 1 species
CAGCACCUCAAGUGGUCAGGAUGAUUAUUGGGCCUAAAGCAUCCGUAGCCGGCGCUGUAAGUUUUCGGUUAAAUCUGUACGCUCAACGUACAGGCUGCCGGGAAUACUGCAGCGCUAGGGAGUGGGAGAGGUAGACGGUACUCGGUAGGAAGGGGUAAAAUCCUUUGAUCUAUUGAUGACCACCUGUGGCGAAGGCGGUCUACCAGAACACGUCCGACGGUGAGGGAUGAAAGCUGGGGGAGCAAACCGGAUUAGAUACCCGAGUAGUCA